GGCAUCCUACGGGAGGCAGCAGUAGGGAAUCUUCCACAAUGGGCGAAAGCCUGAUGGAGCAACGCCGCGUGGGUGAAGAAGGUCUUCGGAUCGUAAAGCCCUGUUUUUAGAGAAGCAAGUGCGUGAGAGUAACUGUUCACGUUUCGACGGUAUCUAACCAGAAAGCCCCGGCUAACUACGUGCCAGCAGCCGCGGUAAUACGUAGGUGGCAAUCGUUAUCCGGAUUUAUUGGGCGUAAAGCGAACGCAAGCGGUCUUUUCAGUCUGAUGUGAAAGCCUUCGUCUUAACC
rnacentral:rRNA from 1 species